rnacentral:rRNA from 1 species
AGCGUGGAGACAGGUGGUGCAUGGCUGUCGUCAGCUCGUGUCGUGAGAUGUUGGGUUAAGUCCCGCAACGAGCGCAACCCUCACCUCUUGUUGCCAUCAGGUCAUGCUGGGCACUCUAGAGGAACUGCCCCGGUCAACGGGGAGGAAGGCGGGGAUGACGUCAAGUCAUCAUGCCCCUUACGCCCUGGGCUACACACGUGCUACAAUGGCCGGUACAAAGGGAUGCCACACCGCGAGGUAGAGCUAAACCCAAAAAGCCGGUCUAAGUUCAGAUUGGAGUCUGCAACUCGACUCCAUGAAGGAGGAAUCGCUAGUAAUCGCGUAUCAGCACGACGCGGUGAAUACGUUCCCGGGCCUUGUACACACCGCCCGUCACACCACGAAAGCCUGCUGUACUCGAAGUCGCUGAG